rnacentral:SRP_RNA from 1 species
AUAGGGUAAGUCCUACACGACCAGCUCCCUCUGAACUCCCCCAGGUCUUGACCGAAGCAAGGGUAGGAGGUUGUAGCGGUGCGAUGUAGCCAGCUUACCCU